GCUGUAUAACGUGAUAGAAUAAUCGUGACGUUUGAAAAUGAUAUUUACUGGAACACAAUUUUCCUCAGAAUAAUGUAGUUCGAUAUAGAAUAACAUACUGCUGUAAUUAUUUACUCACACUGACAGCCGAUAAUUAACCAAGUUCACGUAUACCUGACAAAUUCUCAAACUCAAUUUUCUCGCCAACUAAGCCACGCACCAAGAAAUUCUACUCUGUAGUUUCUUCUUAUUUUUACAUAACGAGUUAUCUACCUUGUGGCCGUACAUCUUAUUCGGCCGGUCCAUGUACUUAACGCCAUCUGUUUAAACAUCGUUGUAGUACGGUCGAGAAAGUUGUCGACCAGCGAUGGCUUUGCGAAAAAGUUUGCCGCACAACAAUAUAAAGAGUUUUUAGAUAGUUCGCCCCAUACUGGAGCACAGCGAACGAUCGGCCCGUAUUUCGCCCUACUUGUUCGGUAAAGUACGUACAUCAAGUGUAGACCCUCUCGAAACAUUGUUUCACUUGUCAUCCUUAACUUUGCGCAGCGUGCUAGCCUCCGUUCGAACCGAGAAUCUUAGUCUUCGCUACGUUAUUUCUCGCAAUGACGACCUCCGUUUCUGCUUGCAGUCGAUUUUCUACCGUCGCGGACGCGUUUUUGGACCAGGUUUUGCUCUGCUUCUCUUUUGCCUCGGUUUGUCCUCGAGUGUCUAGUGAAAGAAAAAAGAGAGAGAGAGAGAGAAUACUCAUCCACGUGUUGCAAUUACUCGCCUAAUCUUUCCAGCACCGAAAUUUGUUUGCACUCUGGCCAAUUUCCAACGUCAAUUCGAAUGUCGCGAGGUUUGAAAAAUUGCUUGGUCGUUAAGAGCUACCGACGAAGUCGGAAAAACCAUUAGAGAAUUUUCUCGUUCGCCGAGUUCGUUAAAAGGUUCGUCUAGUUGUUAAUGUAGCUCGCUCGACGUAUUUAUGUCGUUCGAAGAUUUCCUACGUCUUUCUAUGUGCAAUAAGAACCCAGCCAACUAACUGCCAGUCGCGUAUUACGUUGUGGCCUCGCUCGACUGUUGAUACGACUCGACGCGGAACGAUUCAAUGACGAAAGAACGAGACGGAAGGUAUUGAGCGAGGUUUUCUUGCGUGCAGCUUCGUUCAUCGAGUGGAUUUCGAGUUGCGGUAAUUUAACGCGCGAUGCCUUAGCGCGAGGAUACAAAUUUUGGGAAACAUUCGAUAUGUAGUGGCACUCGGCAACAAAACUCUCCAACUUUCGCCGGUACAAAGUGUAUCACCGAAGCGUAAGUCCGACAGGUCUAACGAGCCAUCGAUAUUCCUACGAUCCUUCGGCCGAAUAUUUGGAAGAAGGCGUACGCGGCAACGAUCGCGGACGCCUAACGAACGCGUGCGUAGUGGGGAUAUUGAGGGGCGACAACAAGGAACGAAUGGGAUCAAGAAAACAGUUGAGUUGUAACAGAGAAGUGAGAAUCGUCAGUUAGAAUCGGGAGUUGUACGUGAAGAGUCGAAAGCGAGGAUUGUUAACACUUUACCGACCGCUAACGAUUCAACAGCAUACGACCGGCAGCUCAGGCGCAGAUUUGGUUUAGACUCUCCAAUACCAUUCUUUUCAGAUUGGUAUAAAACUGUGGGAGCUUACGAAGCAACGCAACUGACGCAACUAAGCAAGGUACUUUAGUAGUAAACAACGAAUUACUGUUCAAAUAAUGAGAAAAAUUGUCGGCGAUAAAAAGCCGACUAAUAGGCUAUCGGUGAGUAAGCGUCGGCGACAAAAAACCGAUUAAUAGGCUAUCGAUCGAUAAAGUGUUAAUAAAUAUACUGUUGAACACUGACGAGUAUUUCUUCGGCACACUACACGUCCUACAUCGAAAUCACCUCAGAUAAUUGUCAAAAAUUCGGGAUCGAAGUGUUGCAAUAUUGAAGAGGCAAAAACGAUUCUCGAGAGCGUUGAAAGAGACGCGUGGAAACAGCGAAUCUUCGAUUGUUGGAAAGGGCGGAGAUGGAAACAGAGAUACGAAACCUUUUGCCUUCGCUGAAUUGUUUAACGCGGAUCAGUUAACAGGCAUGAAAAACGAAGACUCGUGGUUUGUCGAUUCCGGUGCUACGGAGCACAGGUGCUUCAGGAAGAAGCGGUUCGAUCAAAUACGAAAGGAUAGGUGCAAAAAGAAUAUACGCUUCGCGUGGGUAGCGGUUAUACGCCGAGUGUUAAAGGAAGAGGUGACAUUCACGUCGAAGUGCAAAAUGCUGAUGGAACUCACGCGCGUCAUACAAUCUGCGGCGUAUUAUACGCGUCGAAAUGAACACAAAUUUGUUACUCGAUUUUAUGUGCUUCCGAGAAAGGCACCAGGGUUAUCUUCAGAAACAAUGGACAAAGCAAUGGAGUAUUUUUUUUUAUUUUUCUUAACAACAACAUAUUGAUAGUUAAGGGAAAAAACUUGAUGAUAGAGGGUAUAAAUUAGAUUUCAGGCCGGUGUUCGUGACAGGAGCAAAUGUGCUGACGAGUGUAAUUCCAGAACAACGACAUGGAAGACUAGGACACGUAGACUUUUUACAGAUUAGAUAUCGUAGAUUUAAAGAUGGAUAACGUAAUAAAUGGUAACAUCUAUCGCGAAGGGUGUGUUUACGCUGAGCAUCGAACACCGUUUCCAGAAGGAUUAUUUACCAGAGCAAAAUAUCUAGAAAAAUGUCACGCGAAUCCGUGUGGAAAAUAGAGCCAGCCUUCGACCGAGGGAUCGUAUUAUUUUUUUUUAUCGAAGGACAGCUACUCGGGGCACAGCUAUGUUUAUUUCUUAAAGGAGAAAACUCGAUGUCCUUAAGUAUCUGAAGCAGCUUUAUACCGAUGUACAAGCGGGUGGACACAACAUAAGAAGAUUUAAGCUGGAGAUUCACUGGCAAGCUAAUCCAAUCCAAGGGCAUUUGCUUCGAUGUAUUUAUAUGGAACUGUUUCCAUUGGCAAGCUAAUCUGGACCAGCCACUUGAAAAAUCGAUUCUGUAGAAAUAUAUGGAACCGUCUCCACCGAAGCCAAGUUCAAGUGCCCCGAAGGCCCAUUUAGCUCGAGCUAGCACGGGAUUGCCUGGUGAGCAAUUUUUCCGAGACUUCGCAAAAGCCCAGUAAGCUGCCUUUUCCUCUCCGCAUCGCUAGUUUAUGCCAAUAUCGAUUGAUCGUCGCGCUACUGUUGCUGCUUGUCAGCUACCGGUCUAUAAACUUGUUACGAUCAGUGAGCAAACUUUAUUUACAUAUAAUUUUCAAUUAACGCGAUACAUCUAACAUAACUUUCAAUGGAAAAUCGAAUUCCGAGUUUGUGGAAAUAGUCGAGUUUGAUUGGCAAUGACGAAACAAGCGCUCGGAAGAAGGACAAUGAAAUCGAUGGGGAUGGAUCACCGUAGCCGUGGAAUAAAGACAAACAUCCUCGGCAGCCGACUCAAAGAGAUGUCUAUCUGUUGCGUGGAAAGUGCUCGGGUGUCGACAGAAGCUCACUUCGAAAUGGCAGAAACAUUCCUUGCUGUUUGCGAGCCACAAACUGUCGGGGAAGCGCUGCAAACGGAAGAUUCGUGUAACUGGGUGAAAGGGACAAACGAAGAGCUUGAGUUCUCUGAAGAAAACAAAGCGAGUCGGAUGGCACAAUUUGCAAAUACGAGGCGAGACUGACCCCGGGGACUAUGCACAAGAGGAUGGUUUUAAUUAGAAAGGAACGUUGUUUCCGGUCGUGAAAUACGAUACUGUUAAAUUUGUGCUAUCGGUCGCUGCUGUGAAGAACCUGCAGAUGAUGCAAUUCGACGCCAGAACCACAUUCCUGUAUGAUGGAUCUUACGGAAGAACCAGCUGAUCUCGGGUCAGAUCGUCGUGUCUGUCUGUCGUGAAAAAAUUCACCGAGACGAUGAGAUAGAAGAUUCGUGGUCGCAGACAUUAAUGUUAAGAUUACAAAGCUGAAAUAAACGAAGAGAACGUUGAGUCUAACGGCGCACGGCUGGAAUAAUUUACACACAGGCAAAUUAUCGGUGUACUCGUAUUUCUUAAUGGCGUCUACGAGACCCGAUCUGACGUUUAUUUCAACUGUUUUAAGUGAGUUCGCGGAAAAAGCAAAUGGAAAUCGCUGGAAUGCAGUUAGACGAGUGUUUGAAUAUUUGAGGGAACUGUGAAUUAGGGUCUAGCGUGUCAUCAAGCGUCAAAGGAUUUAAUUUACACUGCAUAUUACGACUCUGAUUGAACGAGGGACUUAGAUACCAGAAAGAGCACCGCUGGUUGGAUUUGUCACUUGAGUGGCAGUCCCGUGGCGUCGUUAUCACGUAAACAAUCGACUGUUGCUACCUCAGCAACGAAGGCAGAAGCUGUUGCGUUGCCGUCUUCUCUCUAUGAGAGUUUUACUCGCUUCAGCAGCCAGCUGGUAGUAACACGGUUGAGAGGAAUUCUUGCGAAACUGAAUUGCGUUCGAAAUUUACCACCGUCGAUUUAUUGUGAUAACCAGGCUGCAAUUAUUCUGGCAAAGAAAACGAAGUCACGUAAAAGAUCUAAACCUAGAAGAUACACAGCAUCGUGUUAUAUGUGAGAAAUAUAGGGCGGUAGAGAUAGAUGUGAAGUGUGAAAAAAAAAAAGGAAGAAGAAUUAAUCGAUUUGUUCGUUAAAGUCUUACCAAAGCAAAAAAUUCACAGUUUGUUCUUUUAGAAUAAUAUUACAAAGAUGUAGAUAUGUGUAUGUAAAUAGAUUGUUUGAUCGCGUUAUGUUUUCAAAAGAUAUUCAUCGAGUGGAAAUGUUAAAUACGCGAGAGACGGUUAUCAAUUGCGACGCGGAUCGCCGAUGGAUAGUCGAGCUGUGAUGUUAGCACACGCAACAUCUAUCUCGUUUAUAUUCCGUCCCUUUUAUAAAUAUACCAUUAUAUUUUAAAUACGCCCUUCUACUACGCGCGUUUCAUACUAAUUAUACCGCUAGCUAUCGCAAAUCACAAUAAUUUUUAUUUGACUUGUACAUGUUAUAGUUCUAAUAAUUCAUAACGCCGUAUCUACAAUAAAAGAUAAGAUCCUGUCAAUAUCAGAGAAGAAACAUAAAGAAAAAGAUAAUACAAUGGAUGAAAUAUU